CCAGCACGUUAUGGUGGGCGACUCUAAGGAGACUGCCGGUGGACAAACCGGAGGAAGUGGGGAUGACGUCAAGUCAUCAUGGCCCUUACGGCCUGGGCUACACACGUGCUACAAUGGUCGGUACAAAGGGUUGCCAAGCCGCGAGGUGGAGCUAAUACCCAUAAAACCGAUCGUAGUCCGGAUCGCAGUCUGCAACUCGACUGCGUGAAGUCGGAAUCGCUAGUAAUCGUGAAUCAGAAUGUCACGGUGAAUACGUUCCCGGGCCUU
rnacentral:rRNA from 1 species